rnacentral:rRNA from 1 species
AGCGAACGCUGGCGGCAGGCCUAACACAUGCAAGUCGAACGGACCCUUCGGGGUUAGUGGCGGACGGGUGAGUAACACGUGGGAACGUGCCCUUAGGUUCGGAAUAGCUCCUGGAAACGGGUGGUAAUGCCGAACGUGCCCUUCGGGGGAAAGAUUUAUCGCCUUUAGCGCGGCCCGCGUCUGAUUAGCUUGUUGGUGAG